UACGUAGGCAGCGAGCGUUGUUCGGAGUUACUGGGCGUAAAGGGCGCGUAGGCGGCGACUCUAGUCAGAUGUGAAAGUCCUGGGCUUAACCUGGGGACUGCAUUUGAUACUGGGUUGCUUGAAUUCGGGAGAGGAUAGCGGAAUUCCCAGUGUAGAGGUGAAAUUCGUAGAUAUUGGGAAGAACACCGGUGGCGAAGGCGGCUAUCUGGACCGACAUUGACGCUGAGGCGCGAAAGCGUGGGGAGCAAACAGG
rnacentral:rRNA from 1 species